rnacentral:ncRNA from 12 species
CUUACUUAGGUCUGUGGUUGCGGGCGCAAGAUGCGCUCUAGUCCAUGGCAGACGAGGCCAAAGGGAUCCACGUAAGCUGGUGCGUGCGCGCAUUGGCGAUCAUGGCUCGUCCUAGAGGUAAGUCGUACCGCCCGUUAGAUGAGAGGCACGGGGCCUCGCGGGCGAGAGGACGGCGUGCGGGGAGCUGCGGCACCCCAAGCUAAGUCCCAGUACGCGAGUGUGGGGUCAAAGACCAGGUCAGCUGGGUAAG